GAAUUUAUCGAUUAUUUCUACCAAAAGUUUAUGAAUCUAUUACACCCGAACUUAAACUUUGUGUGCCGUGUCUACUCAUAUGUAAUAAUCAGUUCCGUAUUUGCUUUCUCUUACUAAUAAGUGUAAAAAAAGCUCAUGCGAAAUUUGCUGACAGAAAGAUAACUUGUCAAUGUGAAAACUUAUUCGAGAUGUUCUCCACAUGAAGCCUAUCAGGUCAACUAGUCAUCCAUAAUGCACUUGGAUCAAAUUAGGAUCAACAGAUAAUGAAAAAAACUUCCAAAGACGCAGAAAAUUUUAUUGUAAGGUUUCAAUGUGGUCACCAUCCUACUGUAAUGGUUUAUUGGCGAAUCUUCUGUAAAGGCGACAUACCUCUUCACUUCGAAAAACGUGGUUAAAACUAUGUGAAAAAACCAGAAGGAUAUAUUAGAAAGGGUGGUAAAGCAAUUAAGUAACACUUUCUUAGAUGGAGAUCUUCCUUGCGUCUUCCAGCAAGAUUCUGUUUCAGCUCAUAAGUCAGAAACCACCCAGCAGUUGCUUAAAAUCAAUAUUCCUGUUCUCAUAAAUGUAGAUGAUUGGCCGUCUGGAAGUCCAGAUUUCAAUCUAUUGAACUACAGAUUUUGGUCAGAGUUGGAGAACUUGGCCUGUGGAAUACUCCACAGAAUCUUGACGAGCCUCAAAAAAUAUUUAAUUCGAGCAGCGUAUUAAAUAGAAAUAGAAACUGUGUGUGCUGCUAUUCAUCAAUGCCUGAACCAUUUGUGGGCUUGUGUUAAGGCAAAAGGUGACCAUUUGGAAUAAAAUUUUUGUAUAUCGCUCAUUUAAUAUAUGAAUUAUUAUAACUUGAUAAAGAAAUGUGUUAUAGUGAACUUGUAACGGAACUUCUGGCAGAGGACGAACGGAGUUUCAGAGAGUCACUCGGAUUUCAACUCGCCUCAUCUUCCUGGUCAUUUAUAUGUAUGUAUAUAUGUAACAGUCGUACCAAAAACACAAUCAAUUCAAUUCAGUUCAGCAUAGACAACAUUGUUAAUCAAUUCGAGUAGCCACCAGCGUCAACUGUCCUGAUGCAACACGAACAAUCUGUUCUUCGGCAAUCACGAUCGUGUAAGCGGUAUGUAGGUACCAAAACCAGUUGCAAGUAUAUCAUGUCAGUUCAUAGCGUUGCGACGAUUGUUUGAAUUGAAGUGAAACUUUGGGUAAACUAUAAGUAAAUCUAUGGGUAAAUCUAUGAAUAUAGCAAACAACAACAAUUUUCUGCUGGACUGAUUUGAAUCAUGUGUGGCAAAAAAUGU